UGGAGUUUUGUGAUAUCAGCAUGAGUGUGGCAAUGUAUUUUUGAGAUUGCAAGCACAUGGUAUUUGGGGUGGGAAACAAGUGCAUCAUGACAGAUCUGGGAUGUUCCCUCUGGGUGGAGCUGCCUGGUCCUUAUAAAAGGAGUCUCUAUCACCUUGCUGCUAUCUUCGUGAUACUCAGUCAUAGGUCUUCUUUGAAGCCUCUGAUUCCUUGCGACCCAGGAGGGAUGUCUUACCAUCAGCACCCACAUCCACAUCAGCAUGAGCAUCAGCAUCACCAUCAGCAUCAGGUCAAGGAGCCCUGCCAUCCUCCUCCAAAAGUGUGCACACAGAAGUCCCAUGAGCCUUGCCCACCUCAUCCAUGCCCACCUCCAGUGAGCCAGCAGAAAUGCCCUCCUGGGCCACCAUGCCCACCAUGCCCACCAUGCCCACCAUGUCCACCAUGCGAGCAGAAGUGUCCACCCAAGUGGAAGUAACAGCACCAGAUUUCAUCUGGACCAAGAAACAACAAGAUCCAGGCUCUUCCAUUGCUCUCCCUUCGGCCAUGGUGAUGGACUGCAUCUUCCUUAACCUCCCUCCGGGACCAACGGCUGACAGAGUAAAGGGUGGAUUCCUGAAGCUGACACCACCUUGUUGGAUAAAGAGCCACAGAAUCAUCUCCUGAUGGCUCUUUGCCAUGUGCCUGUCUAUAAUCUGGGUUGUGAUCUCUACCUUGUACUUUGUGAGCACUUAGUGUGUCUAUUCUUUUGCUUCUCCAAUAAAGCCUGUGUCAUAGUGGA